CGCCUGGGCUCCUUCCAGGCUGCUGCAGGCCGCGUCCCGGGUGGGAACUGGUGCUCCAAUUUCCUCAACUGGAAAGAAGUGGAGACUUCAUUUCCUGUUUCAGCCCUGCUGCCAGGUUGUCCCGGCCUGCAGUGUGUGUUGCUGCCUGUGUGCAGACUCGCUCCCUGGUGAUCUCCAGCCUGCCGCUUCCAGCUGAGGCAGAAGGAAGGCGCAUUCUUGGGCCUAGGAGGUAAGAGAAGCCGCAAGCAAUACGAUGAAAGGGAAGGUUGUGUUCUCUUGAAAACCUCAUUGGAUGAUUCAGACCGUAGCUCAAGACCAAAACCUGGCCAAAGAUUUUGUGAUGAAUUUGGAAAUAUGAAUGGAGAAAUAUAC